GUUAUGUAGUGGUUAUAGAUGGGCUCACGGCCUAUCAGCUUGUUGGUGAGGUAACGGCUCACCAAGGCGACGACGGGUAGCCGGCCUGAGAGGGUGACCGGCCACACUGGGACUGAGACACGGCCCAGAUUCCUACGGGAGGCAGCAGUGGGGAAUAUUGCACAAUGGGCGCAAGCCUGAUGCAGCGACGCCGCGUGAGGGAUGACGGCCUUCGGGUUGUAAACCUCUGUUAGCAGGGAAGAAGAGAGAUUGACGGUACCUGCAGAGAAAGCGCCGGCUAACUACGUGCCAGCAGCCGCGGUAAUACGUAGGGCGCGAGCGUUGUCCGGAAUUAUUGGGCGUAAAGAGCUUGUAGGCGGUUUGUCGCGUCUGCUGUGAAAGGCCGGAGCUUAACUCCGUGUAUUGCAGUGGGUACGGGCAGACUAGAGUGCAGUAGGGGAGACUGGAAUUCCUGGUGUAGCGGUGGAAUGCGCAGAUAUCAGGAGGAACACCGAUGGCGAAGGCAGGUCUCUGGGCUGUAACUGACGCUGAGAAGCGAAAGCAUGGGAGCGAACAGGAUUAGAUACCCUGGUAGUCCAUGCCGUAAACGUUGGGCACUAGGUGUGGGGGACAUUCCACGUUUUCCGCGCCGUAGCUAAUGCAUUAAGUGCCCCGCCUGGGGAGUACGGCCGCAAGGCUAAAACUCAAAGAAAUUGACGGGGGCCCGCACAAGCGGCGGAGCAUGCGGAUUAAUUCGAUGCAACGCGAAGAACCUUACCAAGGCUUGACAUAUACUGGACCGCAUCAGAGAUGGUGUUUCCCUUCGGGGCUGGUAUACAGGUGGUGCAUGGUUGUCGUCAGCUCGUGUCGUGAGAUGUUGGGUUAAGUCCCGCAACGAGCGCAACCCUCGUUCUAUGUUGCCAGCACGUAAUGGUGGGGACUCAUAGGA
rnacentral:rRNA from 1 species